rnacentral:rRNA from 1 species
UACGUAGGGUGCGAGCGUUGUCCGGAAUUAUUGGGCGUAAAGAGCUCGUAGGCGGUUUGUCGCGUCGACUGUGAAAACCCGAGGCUUAACCUCGGGCCUGCAGUCGAUACGGGCAGACUAGAGUUCGGUAGGGGAGACUGGAAUUCCUGGUGUAGCGGUGAAAUGCGCAGAUAUCAGGAGGAACACCGGUGGCGAAGGCGGCUUGCUGGGCCAGUCUGACGCUGAGGAGCGAAAGCGUGGGGAGCGAACAGG